AAAGAAAUAAAAGCAAAAACAAUAAAAUGAAAACAAAAAGUCCAAUAAGAAUAGGAAAGGAAAUGUAACCAGGAAAUUGAUCUCUACCCUUCUGAAGCUGCCUUAAAGGUCCUCCACUGCACCACAAAAUGCUUCCACAGAAAGUUGUUCAUUCAUCUGUGCACGUGCCUCUUUGCCCCACUCCUUUUUUUUCUUUAUUCUCUUCCUUCUCUUUCCGAAAUUGAAUAAUUCUCCCUUUCUUUUUCUUUUCUCUUAUCCUCUCUUCCCGAAGUUCAAUCCCCUCUCCUUUUUCUUGUUUACCAGGUGCAUAUUUAUAUACACACAUUUGUAAUAUUAUUGUGAUCUUGCCUUAAUGGCGAAUUAAUUGUCAAUUAGCAAAAUAGGGAAAUAAAUGGUCUUGAUUGAAGAAAAAUAAAUCAAAUUAAAAUCAUAUUUUUCUCUUUAGGAAGAAAUUGAAUACAACAAUCAAUAUAUUAUUUUUAAUUAUUUCUUGUAAUGAUUGUCAUAAUGUUGAUUCAAAUUAUUACCAAAUAAACCAAAUUUAAAAAAAAAACAAAAAAAUUCUUUAGUGAUAUUUCCUGCAUUAAUAUUAAUUGCUUAUGGGCCUGCUGCACCAUUUUUUCAAGAAAAUCAGGUGGAGCACCUCUCCCAUUUAAUCACCAUUCUUUUCUUUUCAUUUUAUUCACGUGCACCCCCUUUUUUUCUUUUUCCUUCUUUCCUUUUUUCCCUUUUGUUUUUCUUUUUCCUUUUUUCUUCUUUUGUUUUUUUUUUCUUUUUCUCUUUUAUUCUUUUUCUCUUUUUUUUCUUUUUUUUUUUAUCUCUUUUUUCCUCUUCUUCCUUUUUUUUAUUUCUCUUUUUUUCCGUUUUUCAUGUUCUUUUUUUUCUUUUCUUUUUCCUUUUUUUCUUCUUUUUUUUCUUUUAAUUUUUUUUUCUUUUUUUAUUCUUUCUUCG
rnacentral:lncRNA from 1 species